CCCUGGGUCACGUGGGCGGGCGGCGCCGCCAUCUUGUCGCUCCCCCCUCAGGGGCAGUGGCGCAGCGCGUAAUGGCGGCGCGGCGGGAGGAGGGGUGGCCCAGUACACACCGGCCUCCCUCCCCGCCUGCCCCCAGAGCAGGCCCGGACACGCCAGCCUGCGGCUCUGUAGGGCUCAGACCAUCCCCUGUGCUUGCUGCCCUGUGAGCUGCUCCCCCCAGCACUCCGCUGCCUGCUGACACAGAGACUGGUAAAGCUGCUCCCUUGUAUUUGGGUCAGUAGAAGUACUGAUGAACGUGCUCGGGGGAUCAGAACAUGUCCAGGGAAGAGGACACGGGUUUGCUGUCCUUGAUCCACACACAGCAAUUAUCCCUCCAUUUCCCUCCUCCUCAGGCUCCUGCCUCUCCCAAGAAGAAAACCACAGGGAAGAUGCAUUCUCCAGAAGGAUGAUUCACCAUGGGAUGUAAAAACAAAGACAACUUUUCCACAGUACUCAUACAUUAAACAGCCCAUCUCUGCCUAGGUUUUUCCUGCCUGUAAAAUUGGAGCUCUAGAACCACAGUCUUCCUGAUGCAGAAAUUAAGCUCUAUGGGACAAGGUUUAAAUAAGACUUAAAAGAUUCAAAUAUCCACAAACAAGUCCUUGAAUGAGCAACACAUGCUCCUCACAGACAAACCACUCAAUUCUGUGAUGAUCUGGUCUUAAACAAAACAUUUACCAGUCCUCUGCUUUCACCUUCCAUAACACUUCUCCAGCCAGCUACAGCUCCAGAGUUAAAGAUUUAUUCCUGUAUUUCUUCCCCAGCUGCAUCUAUUUAUAUCAUCUAAAAGCUCACAGGUUUCUUCAUUGAGGCUUCCUGACAGUUAAAAGAAAAAGGUUUCUGUAUUUUUAAGAAGCUAUUACUGGAUGUUGGCCCAAAUUUUGGGUUUUUUUGAAAGCAAGUUUAAAGUAAUACUUUUAAUUCCUUUUCUUCUUACAACUUUGCAGACAAUUCUAAAAUCUAAGCAAUUCUGCAGUUCCCUUCAUUCAUAUGCACUAGAAAAUGGCAUUAAUCAAUCCUUUGCUAUUUUAGAAGUAUCACAGCAAUUUAAACCCUGAUCCUGCAGUCAGGAAAGUCAGUUCUUGGGAAAGUCAGUUUUCCCUCUGAGUUGCCAUCUGCACUAGGCAGGACUAUUCUCAGUUUCACUUUUAAUUCUCCCACAGCUGACUCAGCCACAAUUCCCUGGAGGAAGCUGAGCAGCUCAUGAGCACUUGAGUCAACACCAGAGUCCUCACAAGCUCUGCUCAUGUUAAACUCAACCAAAACUCCUCAAAAGCUGACACUGCCAGGCGCUUGGGCACUCGGUUCUUAAAUCCCAGCAAAUUCCCAAAUCUGGUAUUGCUUCACCUGCAGAGCCCCAUCUGGCAGGAGUUCUGAAAGACAUCAGGGAAAGCCCCCAAACUGCCAGAAAUGCGACUUUUGGAGUCUUGAGGAGCUUGCCUUAAGGAAGCCAAUAUCACCCACUGCCACCAAGCCAUGUAUGUAUGCUGUGAAGUCAGUGUGUUUAUGAAGUUAUAUCUGACUUUUAGAGUGUUUUUACCCAGUGCUGACAGACACUGACCUUGUGUACACAAGUUUCCUUUUCUGUAUUGAAACUAUCAACAGAUCCUAUGUUACUGACCAUCUUAACAAGCAGAUUUCUCAUUGUACACAGCUAUGGACUCACUUCUAAGGAAAGGAGGUAUUUUACUAAUGGUAAAGCAGCUCAGACAUCCAGAGUGUGAUAAAAAAUUGAUGCAAUUCUCAAGUCACAGUAGUGAAGACUUGUUUCUUGUUCUAUGCAGCUGCCUAUGAGGCUGACCCCAUACCUUAGUUUUGUGAGUCUUUCAUACUGUAAGAUGGCAGGGUAAUCAAAAUAUAAAUUUAACAUUGUCCAGCCACAAAUUAACAAAGGGAUUUGGACAACAGUGAAUAUCUCUCAUUAAUAUCAGAGAUCUGUCUUUAGCAGCAUAACUUCCACAUGCUCCAUCUGAUCAAUUCCCAAAUUUCUGUGGACAUUUUCGGCAUCAAAAGGCAGAGUGUUAUUCAAUGUGUGGGGCCAAUGGUUCCUCUCACUGGCAUUGCCAGUGUUUACUAAGCUGUGCCUGGACAGCAUUUGACAGAAUUCUUACAAAAUACUCCCCUAUGCUGAAACACUUUGUUCUAUCACUGCCUUUGCUGUGUACACCUCUAUCCUCAAUCUUAGCACAUAAUCCCUUUAACUGACGUGAAGAAUUAAAGGCAAUCUGAUUAAGAGCUGCUCUGUCCUUUGGCAGUGUGCUGCCACCCAAGCCUUGCUGGCUCCCCUUCCCUUGUCUCUCCAUGUUCCAGACUGGUAGGUGGAAUGCACACAAUUGAUUGGAGAGGGCUUAAUGAAGAGCAGAUUCAUGAUUAUUCUCCAAAGAGAUGCCUGAAGUUUGUUUUCAAGCUUCAAAGAAAUUUUCAUCUUGUCCUGAAAAACCACAAAAUACUGUUUACAGAAAGCAAGGACUCUUAGCUGAAAGGAGAGACAGAAUCAGGAAGUUUUAUAACUUAUGACUCUAGAACAGGGGUACACACAAAAGGUUUAGUCACUUCAAACAUAAACUAAUCCUUAUCUGAGGCAGCACUCAAAGCUUCUCUCUCUCUCUCUUUUUUUUCCUUUUCUUUCUUUACUGAAGUCCUGAGUGUAAAGUCCUUUACUGAAGUUUUUAUUUUCUGUAAUGGUUUAGUGACAAGAUCAGUAGUCACAGGCUUCUGUGGGAACUGAGGAAGUACAAGCACAGUUUUGUUCAUAUUUCUUGUUACAUGAAGAUCAGACACAGGGGAAAGUGAGGGCAUAAAUGUGGAUUCAGACUUUUAGAGGAUGGAAGAGAGAAUGUUUUUUGACUAAAAUGACCAAGGGUUGUUGUCCCAAGUGGAAGAAUGAAUGGAGAGAAUGUGGCAAUUCUCUGAACAUUGAAAAUUUCUGAGUUUGGCUCUAUUUUUUCAUAUCUCUAGAUUCCUUGCUAGCUUGAAUUUUAAAAACCUUAAUCAUUUUUAUUUCUCUGCAUUCAGAUUUCUCCAUCAUCCCCACUGGACUCCAAAUUAUGUUGCCUCUCUCUUUCACUCUCCAUGUUUAUGCACCACUUUGUCUCUCCAAAUGCUGUUUUACGUGUUCCAAUUAAAUUAAGGGCUUGCCUGCACAGGAAAGUUACAAUACUAUUAAUUUGCAGUUUGCUUUAAAGAAAUUAAGUUAAACCUGGGCAAAAGGCCAUGUGGACUCCCUGGUAUUCCUCUGCAGGAAUACAAAUGGGUUAUUUCAGGUUAGAUCAGGUCAAUUAGGAACAGGAAGAACUUGCAAAACAGUCAGUUUUUCUACAUCAGAAUGAAGAGAGUCCAGCAGCUCCUUCUGCAGAUUGUAACCUCCAAAUGGGAAGAAAGGCUGGGGGCAUGGUCUUGAUCUCUGCAGGAGCCACAAUCUGCUGGACACAGGUAGCACAACACCAGGUGACUGCUGCUGUCACUGCCCUGGCUCGGGCUGUGGAGCAGCUCUUGCCCAUUGCAGCCUUCUUCUUACCAGGACAGCCCAAUCCACAGCACUCACAGGACAGAAGUAGGGACUGCUGCCUCUGUGCAAGGUAUUUUCUUCCACUCUGUUCAUGUAGGCAUUAAAAACUGAGUCCUUUGCAAAAAAAAAAAAAAAAAAAAAAAAAAAAUUACCAUAUGAUGUUGUUUAAUACGGCAAAGUCAUGAGUAUCCAUCUACUGCCCCUCUUUGAAUGAAUGCCUGGAGUUAACUAUUGGUUUACAAGUAGAUUGUAAUUUUAUGAGUGUGCCUUUCUCUUGUAGGCAAGCCCAAAGAAGAGAAGAUGAAGACAAAAGAAGAGAAACUCACAGCAGCAAGAAGAAAGGAAAGAGGCACAUCACUAAAUCUUGGAUUCACAUUCUCAUUGUGAACUGGUUUGAACUAGUAAGCUCAUAAUUGCCUAAAUCAAAAUAGGCACCUAGUCAAGAUGGCUCCUACAUUAAUCAGCAUCAGUUAUACUUUGAAGGAGGCACUAAUGUUUCUCAUUUCAGUUUCUGUAAGCCUUUUCUAAUUACCAUUUCUAAAUACCAAGUGCAGCUUCUAUGUUAUGUAACAUAAAUGGUCUUUGGGAGAAAGGGGAAAGAAGGUCCCUCUUCCUGUUUUCCUUGCUGUUGCUGCAGUGUUGGUUCUGUCACUUGGCAGGGGAAGGAUCACCAGCAAGGGAAUGGGGGUGGUGUAGGAACCUGUAAUACAAAGGUUGGUGGCCUGAGUUAAUGUCACUAGGUUAGCAGGUCAUAAAGACCACAGGGCAUCGACCUGCUGUCUCUCAGGGCAUUCAGAUAUGGAAAAAACGCGAUUAGUCCCGAUGACUGCCAGAGCUGAGACAGGUGGAGAUACUGACAGUUCCAAAGAGCUACAAGAAGAUACCCAAACCCUGUGCAUAGUCACCAAUCCAAGAAUAACCCAGGACUUCAGAGCUGGCAUCCCUUGUGUUCUCUACGGCAUCACACAGAUCCUGGAUCCAUUACCUGGGCACAAACUUCAUAUUGCCUGGAUUUUUGGUUAAAUGGCUUAAACAUGCUGGCCUGGUGCCUGGUGGCUGCUCUUGUGAGUGUGAGAAUAGGAAUGUGGCUGAGUGAGACCUGUUUCUAGUUUUAUUUUAAAUUAAAUCACUUUUUCCCCUUCCCCCCUCAUCCCCACCUCUCCUAACAUUUUCUACCUUGUUUAUAUCAUGUUGGAGCAGUAUUUCCUAUAGAGGAACAAGGAGUAGUAAAGAGGAGCACCCAGAAGCAUAAUCUUUCAGAUGGCAGCAGAAAAAGAAUCUGCCAUCUGAAAGGCAGGUUUUAUUUAAAAAUUUACUGUCAGUAGAAAAUUCUCUCUUUUUCUAGAUGGGUCUUCAAAGGGCCACCCUGCUCCUCUUGCUGGCUUUGGUCAGCAGUGCAGGUCACACAGCUGGAGCUCUGGCCCACUCCCUUGUAGGAGACUUAGCUCAGGCUUCAAUGUGCACAUUGCAACCUUUCCACUUAAAUAAUUAAAGAUAAAGCAUUUUGGAGAUAUCUAGUCCAUCACACUGCCUUAAGACUAAAUAUAUCCAUCCACUCUGGGUGGAUGCUCAUCAGACUGGAUCUCCAGAAUACCAACUGCAUCCCCAAACUGGGGGAGGGCUCCCAACCCUGACUGGCCUCUCCUAAGGGGCUGUAACAUCACCACAGCCCCUUCUCCCCAGCUGUGAGGAAGGAGCCCCUGCUUCAUGCUGAGACUGAAAAGCUGCUUAGUGAGCCAAGGGCUCCCAGCUCCUUUCAGACACCCACAGACACGGGGGAGCUGUAACCCUCCCACCCCUUUCCAAGGCAGGCAGCUCAGUGCCUGCAGUGAGGUGGGAGCUGCUGCUGCCUCUCUGUGAGACAGCAGCUCCUGGUGGCUUCCCCACCGUCUAAAAGAUGGAAAAAUGCUGCUGUUCAGUGAGAAAUGGCUGCACAGCUUGUUGUAUGUCACCUCACUGUGGAGUAACUGAAGUCUCCAUAGUAAACAGGAAGAAUAGUUUAUUUCCUUCCUCUUUGCAGUUGCUUUUUAUGUAUGUGUGCUGCUAUUUUGCCCCUCUUCAGACUUUGCUUCUUGAGACUGAAUUGUUUUUCAUUAGGCCUUACAGUUUAUGUCUUCUGAACUUCUUGAAGAGCAGCAGUUCAGCAUUUAAAUUAACGUAGUGUUUAUGAAGUGAGCUGGACUGACAGGCAUGGAAAUGGAGACUUAUGUCUUCACAGAUUAGAUGCCACAGUGGUAGGAGGAGUGAGAACUCCAUACCUACCUUGUGAUCUGGGACAACUCUAGAGGCAAGAAUAGGAUGUAAUGAUGAAAUCCAUCAAAGUGGCUCAGGUUUCCUCUUUAAUCAGUAGCCUCCAGGCUGUUUCAGCCUGCUAGCAUUCAUUUGUGCCAAAUGUGGUGGUGGCUUUAUGAUAUGGACAAACCACUGCAUAGCAAGGAGCUGUGUUAACCAACUCAUUUCACAUAAACUGCUGGCCUUGUGGGGGCAGAGCAUUCAGGCAGGGUUCAUCUCUGGCCACAUGAAAGGUUCUCCAGCCGAGCCAGUCACCUCCAGCCCCUGAUAUAGCCACAGCAAGAAAAAGAUACUGAGGUGAUGAAUCAUCUCAUCCUAAGGUAGAUAUUUAAAAUAGAUCAGAUAAGACAUACCUUUAAAAUUGCCUACAGGGCAACAGGCUCAGGUGCAUUGAUAGACACAGUAGACAUCUAAAAUUAGGUGAGCCAAGUCUCUCUCACCUCUGGAGUCAAACCAGUGACACACAGGUCAAAGCCCCCACUUCCCAUGGUGAAACUUCAGCGCACAUCUUCUGCCUUUCUGAAUUUACAGCCACCUCCAAACAACCAGCUGAGAGAAUUAUGAGGGUCUUCCACCAAAUGGCUAAAUGUUUUCACUGAUUUUCAGAAACAAAAUUUAUUACAUUCUUCUUUUUUUUAGUCUAGUGCCUAAAUAGUCAUUUUCUAGAACAGGAAUAGUUGCUUUUUAACUUCCACUCAUGAAAAGCAAAUGCUUGGAUUAGGAAGCACAGAUAUUCAUCAUGGCUAUAAUAAUGAUAUUCUGCAGAGAGGAAUUUUUAUGUUGAUCCAUCUGAUACAGUUGAACUAUAAAGAUUUAUCUUGCAGAUUCUUUGGCAAACAGGAACUUCAAAACAAUGGUUUUUUUACUUCCACACCAUUUUCUCCCCCUUCUCUCAUUUUUGUUUUUUAGCUAAUAGUUCAUUAAUAAGGAAAAGGAUUCUUUUGAUACCAUAGCACAUCUGCUGACCCAUUUCAGUGCAAGUGCAUAUAUAACUACUUGUUUGUUUGCACUUCUACAGGUGUUGCUGCUGUGCAGAUAUGGGCUGUGGUUACAUUUCAUAAUGGAAAAUCUGACAGGCAGUUAACUAAUCCAUGAGUCAUAUUUCGUAAUAGCCUAAAGGUCUCUGAUGUUCGACCUUCAUUUGAUACCCUUGCCAUCAGGCAGUUUAUACAUAACCCAUCUGAAGAACAUUCUUUAUAUAGAUGACUGCAUGCUGCCCUUUUAUACCUGCAAGGAUGGGCAGUGCACUCACUGAGCCAGGGGAAUCUGCUCUGCCUCUCUGGAUGGGACUGAGAGCUGCACUGCACGGCCUCAGCUGGGGAAUGGGAGCAGCGGGAACCUCUCUGCUGAGCUUCAGCCUCCUGCAGGGCCGAGCUGAAAGGUGGGGACGGGGUGGGGAGUUGGUUUUGGACUCCACUCACCCCAACUGGACUUCUGAUUGGAACAAUCCAGUAAUGCAAGUAGCAGUGGCACUUCCAGCGCUAACAACUCUGCUGAUUUCACCUGUGUGUGGCUCACUUCUGCUUGAGGCAGGAGAGACAGAGAAUGAGACAUCUUUUUGUCAGACCAUCCCAAAUGGGAUCCAUCCAUUGCUGAUAGCAGGGUCCAGCCAGCAUUACCAAUGCCACAGUCCUAAAAGGAGCACCCAAAGUGGAGAAGGCUCACCUGGAGAAUCAUCCUCUUUAUUUUCUAGCCUAAGGGUGAAAAAGCAACACGGUGCUUACAAGGGGAUCAUAAUAUUGUUGGCUUUCAGGACUUCUCAAGUCUCACAGGCAGCAAAGGAUGUUGGCAUUGCUGCUGUUUUCGAAGCUAAAAUAAGGCAGACACAUGACUUCGGUAACUGCAUGUGAAGUUUACAUACUGUGACUCAUCGUAAUAAAGAAACCUAAACAAAA